AGUGCAUUAGUUUAAUGGUAGAAGGUUAUGCUUCGGACAUUAUGGUAUGAGUUCGAAUUUUAUAUGCACUU
rnacentral:tRNA from 3 species